rnacentral:rRNA from 1 species
AAACGAAAGUUUGACUAAGUUAUACUAGAUAUACCAGGGUUGGUAAAUUUCGUGCCAGCCACCGCGGUCAUACGAUUAACCCAAACUAAUAAAUAUACGGCGUAAAGCGUGUUUAAUCUAUACUUAAACUAAAGUUAAAUCCCGACUAAGCUGUAAAAAGCUCCAGUCUGACUUAAAAUAAUCUACGAAAGUGACUUUAAUACUUUGAAGACACGACAGCUAAGGUCCAAACUGGGAUUAGAUACCCCACUAUGCUUAGCCAUAAACAUAAAUAAAUAUAAACAAAUUUAUUCGCCAGAGUACUACAAGCAACAGCUUAAAACUCAAAGGACUUGGCGGUGCUUCACACCCCUCUAGAGGAGCCUGUUCUAUAACCGAUAAACCCCGAUCAACCUUACCACCUCUUGCUAAUUCAGUCUAUAUACCGCCAUCUUCAGCAAACCCUAAUAAAGGUUUUAAAGUAAGCACAAGUAUAAACAUAAAAACGUUAGGUCAAGGUGUAACCUAUGAGGUGGAAAGCAAUGGGCUACAUUCUCUAUCUUAGAGUAUUACGAAUAUUCUUAUGAAAAUAAGAAUUAAAGGAGGAUUUAGUAGUAAAUCAAGAAUAGAGAGCUUGA